rnacentral:rRNA from 1 species
GGGUGAGUAAUGCUUGGGAAUCUGGCUUAUGGAGGGGGAUAACUGUGGGAAACUGCAGCUAAUACCGCGUAAUCUCUGAGGAGUAAAGGGUGGGACCUCUUGGCCACCUGCCAUAAGAUGAGCCCAAGUGGGAUUAGGUAGUUGGUGGGGUAAAGGCCUACCAAGCCUGCGAUCUCUAGCUGGUCUGAGAGGAUGACCAGCCACACUGGAACUGAGACACGGUCCAGACUCCUACGGGAGGCAGCAGUGGGGAAUAUUGCGCAAUGGGGGGAACCCUGACGCAGCCAUGCCGCGUGAAUGAAGAAGGCCUUCGGGUUGUAAAGUUCUUUCGGUAAUGAGGAAGGGAUGUUAUUAAAUAGAUGGCAUCAUUGACGUUAAUUACAGAAGAAGCACCGGCUAACUCCGUGCCAUCAGCCGCGGU